rnacentral:lncRNA from 1 species
CUCCGUGAUGCCCCGGGGCCCAAUUGAGUUUCCCUGGGGAUAUGGACACAACUUUCUCCCUGAGACAGUGUACCCCACUUCCCGAGAUCCAGACUUCAGCACCCACAGGCACCCAUGGCCAUGGAGCCUUCCAGCGAACCUCUCAGCACCAGCGUGUGUGGGCCAGGGCAGACUUGGGCGCCAUGCCGCGGACGAAGAAGGAAGGCAGCGGGGCUGACGGCGAUUCUACAGCAAGAAAGGACACAGUUGCUCACUCCAGCUGGAGAUGACAUGUGGGGAUUUCAGGAGAGGUUCCUGGGGCUCCCCUCAGCACUGAGGCAAAACAGAAGGCUCUGUCAGCAGGACAGGAGCACUGCAGAAACGGGGGAGUCAGAGCAGAGAGAACACCUUGAGGAUGUGAGUUACAGCUAGAGGGGACGAUGGUCAAGGUCAGCGGGGACGGAGGCGAAGCCCUGCCGGAGUGUCUCCAGGUGAAGCCUGCCUCGAAGGGGCAGGUGAGUGGUGAGUGAGGGCACCGAGCAAGUAGUAAGUGAGCAGAUGCUGGCUGCUACGCAGGAGAAAGAGACAAGAAAGUGCGGAGGGUACGUGGGGAAGACAUCCCAGGGAGCCAUAACUCAAACUCUCCAUCACCUGUUCCAUCUGACCCCCCCCCCGUCACCUGCCCCCUCACCUCCACCCUGAUUAAAAGAUAAGAAACACAGGAGCUAAUCCAGAGACACCUUGAAGAUCUAGCGUAGGAAGUGGCCACAUUUAUCCUAAUACGCCUCUUCAGAAUCACCGUUCCCCUUUAAAGAGAGCACCAGUAACUGGCCACUGAGUCCUGGCAGCUAACUGCCCAGCCAGGAACCCCUGGAUUCACCAUGAAUCAAGGGCAUGGGCUCCGAGAGCAUCAUUCCCUCUCCCAGGGAGGAAAAUGGACCUUGGAGCCAUCACCCGUGAUUUAUCUCGGCCCCCUCAGAUGGCCUCAAUUAAAUCCCACUGCCAGUGGAGAAGGAGAAGGUGGCAGAGGCAUUUAAUUACAUCUUAGCAUGUGCUCACUGCCGAAUCUAUGGAAGAGUACUAGGGAUUUUUCACCUCAUCACCAAACAGCGGGAGCCCUGGGUGCCGCGGG